rnacentral:rRNA from 1 species
AGCGAACGCUGGCGGCAGGCUUAACACAUGCAAGUCGAGCGGGCACUUUCGGGUGUCAGCGGCAGACGGGUGAGUAACACGUGGGAACGUACCCUUCGGUUUGGAAUAACGCUGGGAAACUAGCGCUAAUACCGGAUACGCCCUUUUGGGGAAAGGUUUACUGCACGAAGGAUCGGCCCGCGUCUGAAUAGCUAGUUGGUGGGGCAACGGCCUACCAAGGCGACGAUCAGUAGCUGGUCUGAGAGGAUGAUCAGCCACACUGGGACUGGGACACGGCCCAGACUCCUACGGGAGGCAGCAGUGGGUAGUCUGGGACAAUGUGCGCAAGCCUGAUCCAGCCAUGCCGCGUGAGUGAUGAAGGCCUAAGGGUUGUAAAGCUCUUUUGUCCGGGACGAUAAUGACGGUACCGGAAGAAUAAGCCCCGGCUAACUUCGUGCCAGCCGCCGCCGUAA